rnacentral:rRNA from 1 species
CCUACGGGUGGCAGCAGUGGGGAAUAUUGCACAAUGGGGGAAACCCUGAUGCAGCCACGCUGCGUGAGUGAAGAAGUACUUCGGUAUGUAAAGCCCUAUCAGCAGGGAAGAAGCAAGACGGUACCUGACUAAGAAUCCCCGGCUAACUACGGGCCAGCACCCGCGGUAAGACGUCGGGGGCAAGCGUUAUCCGGAUUUACUGGGCGUAAAGGGAGCGUAGACGGCUGUGCAAGUCUGAAGUGAAAGCCGGUGGCUCAACCGCGGAACCGCUUUGGAAACUGUAUAGCUUGAGUACUGGAGAGGCAGGCGGAAUUCCUGGUGUAGCGGUGAAAUGCGUAGAUAUUAGGAGGAACACCGGUGGCGAAGGCGGCCUGCUGGACAGAAACUGACGUUGAGGCUCGAAAGCGUGGGGAGCGAACAGGAUUAGAUACCCGGGUAGUC